ACUACGGUGCUGAAGUAACAAAUGCCCUGCUUCCAGGAAAAGCCUCUAAGCAUCAGGUAACAUCAAAUCGUACCCCAAACCGACACAGGUGGUCAGGUAGAGAAUACCAAGGCGCUUGAGAGAACUCGGGUGAAGGAACUAGGCAAAAUGGUGCCGUAACUUCGGGAGAAGGCACGCUGGUGUGUAGGUGAAGUCCCUGCGGAUGGAGCUGAGACCAGUCGAAGAUACCAGCUGGCUGCAACUGUUUAUUAAAAACACAGCACUGUGCAAACACGAAAGUGGACGUAUACGGUGUGACGCCUGCCCGGUGCCGGAAGGUUAAUUGAUGGGGUUAUCCGUAAGGAGAAGCUCUUGAUCGAAGCCCCGGUAAACGGCGGCCGUAACUAUAACGGUCCUAAGGUAGCGAAAUUCCUUGUCGGGUAAGUUCCGACCUGCACGAAUGGCGUAAUGAUGGCCAGGCUGUCUCCACCCGAGACUCAGUGAAAUUGAACUCGCUGUGAAGAUGCAGUGUACCCGCGGCAAGACGGAAAGACCCCGUGAACCUUUACUAUAGCUUGACACUGAACAUUGAGCCUUGAUGUGUAGGAUAGGUGGGAGGCUUUGAAGCGUGGACGCCAGUCUGCGUGGAGCCAACCUUGAAAUACCACCCUUUAAUGUUUGAUGUUCUAACGUUGGCCCCUUACCGGGGUUGCGGACAGUGUCUGGUGGGUAGUUUGACUGGGGCGGUCUCCUCCCAAAGCGUAACGGAGGAGCACGAAGGUUAGCUAAUCCUGGUCGGACAUCAGGAGGUUAGUGCAAUGGCAUAAGCUAGCUUGACUGCGAGCGUGACGGCGCGAGCAGGUGCGAAAGCAGGUCAUAGUGAUCCGGUGGUUCUGAAUGGAAGGGCCAUCGCUCAACGGAUAAAAGGUACUCCGGGGAUAACAGGCUGAUACCGCCCAAGAGUUCAUAUCGACGGCGGUGUUUGGCACCUCGAUGUCGGCUCAUCACAUCCUGGGGCUGAAGUAGGUCCCAAGGGUAUGGCUGUUCGCCAUUUAAAGUGGUACGCGAGCUGGGUUUAGAACGUCGUGAGACAGUUCGGUCCCUAUCUGCCGUGGGCGCUGGAGAAUUGAGGGGGGCUGCUCCUAGUACGAGAGGACCGGAGUGGACGCAUCACUGGUGUUCGGGUUGUCAUGCCAAUGGCACUGCCCGGUAGCUAAAUGCGGAAGAGAUAAGUGCUGAAAGCAUCUAAGCACGAAACUUGCCCCGAGAUGAGUUCUCCCUGAGACUUUAAGUCUCCUGAAGGAACGUUGAAGACGACGACGUUGAUAGGCCGGGUGUGUAAGCGCAGCGAUGCGUUGAGCUAACCGGUACUAAUGAACCGUGAGGCUUAACCUU
rnacentral:rRNA from 1 species